rnacentral:sRNA from 1 species
AGGAAGGGCGGGUCGGAGCUGUAACUGCCCCGGCCGCGAGGCGCGCCCGCUCCCAAGUCGGCUUCCUUCCUGCCGGGGCCGCUUUGCCUCGGGUCUCCCCAUUCUCCAGGUCCCCUGAAGGGCACAGUCGGAGGCCGAGGGCGGCGGGCUCUGCCUCCGCCGAGGGACAGCCAGAUCGCCCCUCUGCUUCCCGCAACUGCCCUGAUCACCCCCCGUCCCAGCCCUUGAGUGAACGUCCUUCUGAGCGGCUUCCUGGGGUCCUCCGCACGUCCCAAAGACCGGCAAGAUGGUGUCCUGGAUGAUCUGUCGCCUGGUGGUGCUGGUGUUUGGGAUGCUGUGUCCAGCUUAUGCUUCCUAUAAGGCUGUGAAGACCAAGAACAUUCGUGAAUAUGUGCGGUGGAUGAUGUACUGGAUUGUUUUUGCACUCUUCAUGGCAGCAGAGAUCAUUACAGACAUUUUUAUCUCCUGGUUCCCUUUCUACUAUGAGAUCAAGAUGGCCUUCGUGCUGUGGCUGCUCUCACCCUACACCAAGGGUGCCAGCCUGCUUUACCGCAAGUUUGUCCACCCGUCCCUGUCCCGCCAUGAGAAGGAGAUCGACGCGUACAUCGUGCAGGCCAAGGAGCGCAGCUACGAGACCGUGCUCAGCUUCGGGAAGCGGGGCCUCAACAUUGCCGCCUCCGCUGCUGUGCAGGCUGCCACCAAGGUGCUCCGGGCCCCCAGCCCUCCAGCAGCCCCCAUCCCACCCCUAAGGCCCUUUGGGCUCAUUCAACUCCUCUGCCAGGGAGCCCAGAGAUGGCAGCCAGGAAGCAGGGGUGAGAAGGUGACAGGGGGGUAUUGGCAGAAGCGUGGAGCUGGAGUCAGACCUUCCUUCCUAGCUCUGGCACUGAGUGUAAGCAGCGGCUCCUGCUCUCUGACUUUGGUUUCCUGUUGGUGCCACAUUGGCACGGGGCCAGAAGCUUGCUGAGCAGUUUUCACUUCUGUGUCUCAGCCUCGGUGAUUAGCUGGUUGGCCGAUUUCCCUGGGCAGCCUCCCCGCUGAAGUCUCUUCCCCCUUGCAGAGUCAGGGGGCGCUGGCCGGCAGGCUGCGGAGCUUCUCCAUGCAGGACCUGCGCGCCAUCCCUGAUGCGCCUGCCCCUGCCUACCAUGACCCCCUCUACCUGGAGGACCAGGUGCCCCACCAGAGGCCACCCAUUGGUGAGUGGGCAGAGGGGCC